GACGAACGCUGGCGGCGUGCUUAACACAUGCAAGUCGAACGGAAAGGCCCUGCUUUUGUGGGGUGCUCUAGUGGCGAACGGGUGAGUAACACGUGAGUAACCUGCCCUUGACUUUGGGAUAACUUCAGGAAACUGGGGCUAAUACCGGAUAGGAGCUCCUGCUGCAUGGUGGGGGUUGGAAAGUUUCGGCGGUUGGGGAUGGACUCGCGGCUUAUCAGCUUGUUGGUGGGGUAGUGGCUUACCAAGGCUUUGACGGGUAGCCGGCCUGAGAGGGUGACCGGCCACAUUGGGACUGAGAUACGGCCCAGACUCCUACGGGAGGCAGCAGUGGGGAAUAUUGCACAAUGGGCGGAAGCCUGAUGCAGCAACGCCGCGUGCGGGAUGACGGCCUUCGGGUUGUAAACCGCUUUCGCCUGUGACGAAGCGUGAGUGACGGUAAUGGGUAAAGAAGCACCGGCUAACUACGUG
rnacentral:rRNA from 1 species